UUCCCUCUUCUUAGGCAUUUAAGUUCUAUUCUAUUUUGAUAGACUUUAAAAUAAAAACUUACAUCUUAAUGAUUUAGCAAUCCUUACAUGUACUCAAUGUGUAUACUAAUAAUAUAAUAAUAGCAAAUAUUUGUAAAGCACUGAUUGUGAUGUGAGGCACUGUUUCAAAUACUUUACAUUAAUUCAUUUAAUCUUUCCAACAAAUCUUAUGAGGUAGGUACUAAGAUUACCCUCCAUUGUUAAGAUGAAGACACUGAGGCCUAGAGACAGUAAGAGACUUACCUAAUGACUCAUCACUACAUAGUAGCAGAGCCUGGAUCUAACCCAUGUGAUCUGACUUCACAGGCCAUGGUCUGAACUGCUUUGCAAUACUGCCUCUUUACCUGUGCAAGAAGGUCCCUGAAUUGCCACAGAUCAUUCAACAAACUGGAAAUAACUUAAAUGUUCAUCAUCAAUAUCAAUCCAUACGACUCCCCCUCCCCAGAGCCGCCAUAAGGGGCGAAGCCCGACAUCCUCCUGAGCGCGGUAUGGAGGGACUGGGGGGGGACAAAAGGAACUUGCCUACAAGGACUUACAGAUGCCAGGAGCUGAGGGGUCUGGGGCAACUCCGUGCUGACUUCCAUCCUCUCCGCACCCCCAGCCUCCUCGUCCGCCAUCUUGAGGGAAACUGACACCCGCAGUUCCAGACCCCCGGCCGAAGACGAGCGGAAACCUGUGGCCGGUCCAAGAAACACGGGGCGGGCGACACUUUUACGACGGCCCCUGAAGUCAGGUUUGACGCAGAAUCGAGGCGUGGCUUCCGGUCCGCUUCCCGGAAGCAAGCGUCACGGACCUUAGGGCUGGAGGUUUUUCUUCUCCUAAUUUCUUAGUCGUAGUGCCUGGCCUCUGAAUAGUUUUGCAUCUGGUUCCGAUGCUGGGAACUGUUGCGUCUACGAGGUAAAAAAUAAAUUCAGCGUCCAUUUUGAAAUGGCUCCCCAGAACCCACAAAAUGAGAAAGUACUCAAAGCUAUUCCAUGUUUAGGAAUGUAGCCCAUGGACACUUGCACAUGCGCACAAGAAAGCUAAAGCCGCAUCCGCUUUGGGGAGAGGUGGGUGAAGAAAUAACAAAAAAUUGAAACCUUGUAGUCGUAUAGCCAUAGAGGGAGGACAAAAUAAACGUGGUCAUCCGCGUUAGGGAAUACCAUACGUUGGUGUUAAAAAGAACAAAGUAGAUUCUUGUGGAAAGAUAAAGAUGAGUUAAGUGAAGUGGGGGGGAAAAAAACCCAAGUUGCCGUAAACUACAUAUUUGUGCUUAUGUGCGUUUAAAUGCAAGGGGAAAAGCCUGAAAGGAAAGAACUAAUAAUAGCUCUGAGGAUAGGAACUUAGUCAAGAGCUACUUUAACUUCAUCUGUAUUGUUUUAAAUUGUUUACAAACUAACGAUUUAAUAUAAGGUUUUAACAAAGGGAAAAAUAAUGAUAAGGCUAACAUGCUGGAAGGAAUUAAAAGCUAACUAUUGGGGAAAAGGCUAAGUCAUAUCUUUACCUCAAAUCAUAUAUAUCAAAAUAAUUCUU